GAUGAACGCUGGCGGCGUGCCUAAUACAUGCAAGUCGAGCGAACGGACGAGAAGCUUGCUUUCUGAUGUUAGCGGCGGACGGGUGAGUAACACGUGGAUAACCUACCUAUAAGACUGGGAUAACUUCGGGAAACCGGAGCUAAUACCGGAUAAUAUUUUGAACCGCAUGGUUCAAAAGUGAAAGACGGUCUUGCUGUCACUUAUAGAUGGAUCCGCGCUGCAUUAGCUAGUUGGUAAGGUAACGGCUUACCAAGGCAACGAUGCAUAGCCGACCUGAGAGGGUGAUCGGCCACACUGGAACUGAGACACGGUCCAGACUCCUACGGGAGGCAGCAGUAGGGAAUCUUCCGCAAUGGGCGAAAGCCUGACGGAGCAACGCCGCGUGAGUGAUGAAGGUCUUCGGAUCGUAAAACUCUGUUAUUAGGGAAGAACAUAUGUGUAAGUAACUGUGCACAUCUUGACGGUACCUAAUCAGAAAGCCACGGCUAACUACGUG
rnacentral:rRNA from 1 species